GUAUGCUUAAUCUUUUCCUUACCCACAUUUCACAACACUCUACCCUACACAGCAGAAUUAAUCUGGUACUCACGACUACACAAAGAGUAUGAUUUUAUGCAGUGGUAGAUUGUGAAAUCUAAUGCACAGUGAAGCAAGAACUGUGACCAGAGGGAGGCUUUGGUGUAUGACUGACCUCAUUUUUAUUGUCCCCAGAGGAAGACAGGAUCGGAGCAUUCACAGACUUUGAAUAUGGGCAGACAGUUCAAACACCAAGCCAAUACCCUCAGCAUCUGUCUCCUUGGAAAGCACUUGAGAUUUUACAACACAGAGAGAAGAGGGACAGAAACUGUUCUUAGAAGGCUUGCCAUCAAGAAGGGUAGCAGACUUGUAUGUGCAUAACUCCAGAAACAAGAGGGCAGCAAUGAAGGCAUAUAGAGGAAGAGAGAAGGCAAAGGGGGCAUCAGCCGGGCCAGGCAGGACUGCCUGCUGGAACACAGGGUUUGCCCUGAACUUGCAGGGGGCCCAGGGAGACAACCGAAAAGCAAUUAAGUUUAGGACAGAGUGAGAUGCAGGGGAGUGCAUCUCUUCAAGGCAGAAUGAUGUGCAGAGAAGAGCACGGCUUUUCUGCGAGGGACUCCAGGGCAGAUGGAACAGAGGGUUUCCUGCGAUGUGCAAUGGGUCAUUCGAUUGGAAGACAGGAUGGACUUAGACGGUGAACUGCUCAGACCCAAGAGUUCAGUAUUCAGUCCCUGUGUUACUACUGCAGACAGACACUUUUGUUUAUCUCCCCGGCUGGUAUUACAUCCUCUUUUUUUCUUUGCUAAAAAGCCAUAAUGAUCAGAA
ensembl:lncRNA